rnacentral:rRNA from 1 species
UACGGAAGGUCCGGGCGUUAUCCGGAAUUAUUGGGCGUAAAGGGAGCGCAGGUGGGAAUGUAAGUCAGUCUUAAAAGUGCGGGGCUCAACCCCGUGAGGGGAUUGAAACUACAUUUCUUGAGUGCAGGAGAGGAAAGUGGAAUUCCUAGUGUAGCGGUGAAAUGCGUAGAGAUUAGGAGGAACACCAGUGGCGAAGGCGACUUUCUGGACUGUAACUGACACUGAGGCUCGAAAGCCAGGGGAGCGAACGGGAUUAGAUACCCCGGUAGUCCUGGCCGUAAACGAUGGAUACUAGGUGUGGGAGGUAUCGGCCCCUUCCGUGCCGGAGUUAACGCAAUAAGUAUCCCGCCUGGGGAGUACGGCCGCAAGGCUGAA